AAAAAGAUAAGCUAAAUAAGCUUAAAGGCUCAUAAUCUUUACAUAGAAAUAAAAACUUUCUUCUUUUUA
rnacentral:tRNA from 1 species